rnacentral:rRNA from 1 species
UACGUAGGGUGCGAGCGUUAAUCGGAAUUACUGGGCGUAAAGCGUGCGCGGGCGGUUUGGUAAGUCAGAUGUGAAAUCCCCGGGCUUAACCUGGGAACUGCGUUUGAAACUACAAGGCUAGAGUGUGGCAGAGGGGGGUGGAAUUCCACGUGUAGCAGUGAAAUGCGUAGAGAUGUGGAGGAACACCGAUGGCGAAGGCAGCCCCCUGGGUUAACACUGACGCUCAGGCACGAAAGCGUGGGGAGCAAACAGG